CUGAAUGUGCCAGACAAUCUUUGGAUCCUGACGAUCUUGAAAAUCUUCAAAAAUGUCUUACCAAACCCUUGAAGCAUAUCCGGUUCCCAUUAAUGGAUCCCGCUGACUUUGCUUUAAUUGUUAAGCCGAAAAAGUUGCUCAAACUUGAAGAAUUGGUUGAUCUUUUGGCCUCAUUUUUGGUUCCAGUGGAGAAAAGAGAAAUGCUCGUACUGGGAACAUUUGUUUCAACCCCUCGACAAUACACCGGUGCUAAAAAUGAUGACCAUCCUAUCUCUACACAAACCAUUAUUAUUUACCAAUAAAUAAUACAAGUCCUCCGCAAAAGUUUUCUAUGUAAUUAGCUUAAUAAUUUUGUAAAUAUUUUCACGAAUUUAGAUGUUGGUGAACUUGCAUGAUUUUUGUUAAUUGCAUGCGUACAACAUGUAUGUAAGACAGUAGUGAAACAGGCUAACUGAUAGCAUGUAUGUAUGCAUGGAUACAUUCAUACGAAAGGGGGAAAUAAGUUGAUAAUCACGAAAAUGAAAAUAACCAAGUGAGAAAUACCAAGACAGGAAAUGCAUAGACCACCUAAAUUUGUCGUUAACAAAAUAUUUCAUCACCUUUAAGCAGUUUCAAAUUCUUAUAUAGAUGUAUGUGCCCAGAUUUCUGUUUAAUAUUAUGUUACAAUUUAGGUCUUCAAAAUAUUAAUUAUGUAAAUAGCACGUAUGAACUACAAGUUGUAAAUAAACUUUUCGUCAACCA